ACAAACUGUCAUAGAUUAUUAAAGAUACGUCCUAAAGCUAAGCUGGGCUGAGCCUGGUCAGUACCUGAAUGGGAGACCACAUGGGAAAUCUAGGUUGCUGUUGGAA
rfam:Danio rerio chromosome 14 genomic contig CTG1748, GRCz11 reference primary assembly.